UCUCGUUGGUGCCUUUUUUUUCUUCGAUUCCGGUGCGGCUCUUCUUGCUGCCGGCGUCAGCGCCCGUUCUUGCCCUUGCUCUCCCUCUGUGCCCGUACGAGUAAGCAGGCCAUUCGCUUCGAUCCUCCCCGCACGCAUCUCACGUGCGUCGGUGCUGCCACUGCUGCUCCCCUGCGGCUUCUUCCUGUACUUAUCGAUCUCUCGUAGGCCACGCCGAGCACACCCUCGUUACCAGCGAUGCCGACCGAGAACAUCGUUGGGAACACCAUGAUCCGGCAGCUCCGGCUCCUGCGGCGCCGUGAGUGGUACACCUGGAUCACUGUGUGGCCCUUCACGGUGCUCUACGUCGUCUCCGUCGUCCUCUACCUCUACCCCGAGCUCGUCUGGGACCGUGUGACGUACCUGGUGCAUCAGACGUACAUCGACUUCUUUCACGCCAUCUGCUUUCCCAUUUUCGUCUUCCUUCACUCCUUCCUCUCCCUCUUCACGAUUUGGUCCGUGCGGUUUCGCGCUCGCAUCAUUUAUCGACCUGUGGCGAUGGAGCAGCUAACAGAGGCGACGGAUGUCCUGGUGGAGACGCACCUGCACAAGGGCGAGUCGGAGAUCGUGCCGCUGCACCAGGAGGGUGAAGACGGUCAGCCGCCGUGUUUUGUGUUCCAGCAGCGUAAGUGGAAGCUGGACGGGCGUGAAGGUAUCUUCGUGAAGCCGCGCUUCCCCACGAAGCACAGCUUCUCCUACUAUAUUCACUGGGAGGGCCUCGACAAGGAGGCGGACCGCACGAAGCAGGUGGACACGUACGGGCUCAACAAGAUGGAGGUGGUCAUCCCCGAGUUCCAGGACCUCUUCGUCGACCAUGCCCUCUCCCCGUUCUUCGUGUUUCAAAUGUUUUGCGUGCUGCUCUGGUGCCUCGACGAGUACUGGUACUACUCCCUCUUCACCGGCUUCAUGAUGGUGGGCAUGGAGUGCACGACGGUCUACCAGCGCAUCCGCAACAUGCGCACGCUCCGCGACAUGGCGGAGGUGCCAGUACGCGACAUCGACGUCAUGCGUGGCGGCAAGCACGUCACGAUCAAGACCGACGCCCUGUUGCCGCUGGAUAUCAUCGUGGUGCCGAGCAACGCCCCGUGCCCGGUUGACGCGUUGCUGGUGAAAGGCACUGCAGUGGUGAACGAGGCGACUCUGACAGGCGAGUCGACGCCGCAGCUUAAGGAAGCGCCGGAUGACGUGGAUGUAGCCCUCAGCGUCAAGAAGCACGCGCGGCACAUGCUGUUCUCCGGCACGCAGAUUCUGCUGAGCAACGGCCCUCACGAGACCUCCGAGGAGGGCGCGCACAGCCGCGACAGGAGCAAGGCACUCGCCGUCGUGCUGAAGACGGGCUUCGAGACGAAGCAAGGCAAGCUGCUGCGUACCAUCCUGCACAGCCAGGGCCGGGUCAGCGAGAACAGCGGCGAGGCCUUUGGUUUCAUUGGCGUGCUCGUGGUCUUCGCGCUGGCAGCCAGCGGCUACCUGCUGAAGCGUGGUCUCGCAGAUCCGCACCGCAGCCGGUGGAAGCUCUUCCUGUCCUGCGUGCAGAUCAUCACUUCCGUGGUGCCGCCGGAGCUUCCGAUGGAGCUGUCGCUGGCCGUCAACACGACUCUGCUUGCGCUGACGAAGCUGCAGGUGUUCUGCACGGAGCCGUUCCGCAUCCCGUACGCUGGAAAAGUAGACACGUGCUGCUUCGACAAGACCGGCACUCUCACCACGGACGAGAUGCUCUUCGGCGGUGUGGACAUGAUUGAUGGCAAGGGGCUGCUGAACAAACUCAAGGCGAUUCCGAAGUACUCGGAGAUGGUGCUGGCCACGUGCCACUCCCUCGUCUACCUCGACGAAGAGACGCUGGCCGGAGAUGAGAUGGAGAAGGCCGCCAUCACCGCCCUGGGCUACCGCAUCGACAGCGAGGACAACAUUCUCUACGACCCCAAACCGCCCAGGGAUGAGGACAAGGAGGGGCAGGCGAAGGCCAAGAAAGGGACCGCGGCGCCGCAGAAGAUGUACAAGGUUCUCCUGCGCUUUCCUUUCCUCGCCACGCUGCGCCGCAUGGCCUGCGUCGUCUCCGCCUCAGAUGGCAAGUACAUCGUCGCCAAGGGCUCGCCGGAGUCCAUCGCUGCCCUGUGCGAGUCUGUCCCCGAAGACUGCCUGAAAAUCGCCGAGGAGACGGCGGCCAAGGGGUACCGCGUCAUCGCCCUUGCGUAUCGCUCGCUGACAGAUGCGGAGCGGGCGUCGAAGGAGACCAUUCUUGCGCUGCGCCGCGAGAACGUCGAGAAGGGGCUGCGGUUCGCCGGUCUCGCUGUGUAUGUUUGCCCGCUAAAGAAGGAUGCCAAGGAGACGAUCGAAAAUUUGGAGGGUGGCAGCCACCGCUGUGUCAUCAUCACCGGCGACAGCGUGCAGACGGCUAUCUCGGUCGGCAAGGACGUGUCGAUGCUGUUGUGCAAACGCCAGCUGGUGGCGAAGGACGCGGCAGGUGGCGGAGUAGAGUGGGUGGACUCGGUGUCGAGCGUCGUGCAGCCGGGGACAUCCCAGGACAUCAUCGCCAACACUUUUCAACGCAGCCGUCGCAAGCUGGCGCCGCGCGAAAACGAGUGGGACCUCUGCGUGAACGCGGAGACGAUCAGCCCUGAGUCGAUGCAGCACAUCGUAGAGACGUACAACGAGCAUGUCACCAUCUGGGCUCGCUGCGCUCCGACGCAGAAGGAGGAAAUCGUCACAGACCUCAAGAAGAAGAACCACAUCGUCAUGAUGGCCGGCGACGGCACGAACGACGUUGGUGCGCUCAAGCAGGCACAUGCCGGCAUUGCCGUGCUGAACUCGGCCUCUGUCGCUCCCAAGGCGGAGAACAAGGAGCUGGUGGUUGGCCCGCAGCCGCACAACGAGCCGGAUGUGCCGGCCGAUCUGAAGGUGCCGCCGAAUUUCAAGUUCACCGUCGUGCCUCCCGAACCGCCGGUGGGGACGCCGUUCAUGCAGAUGAUGAGGUGGAAGAUGCUGGAGGCGAAGCGCAAGGUGGAGAUCAAGCAGAUCACGGCGUGGAACAAACAGUUGAAGGAGGCGGAAAAGGCCAAGGCAGACAAGAAGGCGGCCGCGCCGCCACCGCCGUUGAAUGGCACCGGCGACUCGGACUUCCUGAUGGAGUCCCUCUUCAACUCGGAUGACGAGAAUAUGGGCGGCCCGCCGAUGAUCAAGCUUGGCGACGCGUCCAUCGCGGCGCCGUUCACGUGCCGCUCCAAAGCGCUCACCUCCGUGUGCGACAUCAUCCGGCUUGGCCGCACGACGCUUGUGACGACGCACAUGAUGUACAAGAUCCUCGCCCUGAACUGCCUUACGCAGGCGUACUCCAUGUCGGUGCUGCACUGCGCUGGCGUGAAGUUUGGCGAGAAGCAGAUGAUCUUGGCCGGCAUCAUCUUGUCUGUGUGCUUUCUCUUCAUGUCUCGCAGCAAGCCGCUGACGCACCUGUGCCGCCAGCGGCCUGUCACGAAAGUGUUCCACCCGUACAUGAUCUGCACAGUCUUCUUCCAGUUUGCGCUGCACCUAUACUGCAUGAUGAAGACGUCGUGGAUGGUGGCGGAGGUGGACGCGGCUACCAUGAGUGACAUGAGGAAGAACUACCAGGAUGUCGAGUUCAAGCCGACGCUGCUGAACUCCACCAUGUUCCUCCUUACCACCCUCAUCUCCGGCGUCACGUUCGCGGUGAACUACCGCGGCGAGCCAUUCAUGCAGGGCAUACGCAAAAACCGCCCCAUGCUCAUUGCCCUCAUCAUCCUCGGCUUCGUCGUCUUCUGCUUCGCCUCCGAGGCGAGCCCGGAGUUCAACGAGGAGUUCGAAAUCACCGCCUUUCCCACCGAGGAGUUCCGCACGCGCUUCACGCAGCUCCUCUUGCUCGACGCCGUGGGCUGCUUUGUGAUUGAGAAGGCUUCUCUGAUGCUCUUCACGGACUACUGAGCAGUGAGGGAUCCACCACACGAUGCCAGGGUGUUGUGGCUGGCAGAGAAAGGAAAGGCGAAGGGGGGUAGGCUUCUGCAGUGGAUGUUGUGCGGAGUACUCGAGCGGUGGAUAGGUAAGUUCGGGCUCGCAAUUCGGAGAGCUUCACGCUGCAGUGGCCGGUGCAACACAGGUCGUCGCAGAGGUUGCGGUCACACGAGUAGUGCAGUCCGUCGCCUCCACCCACCCUUCCCUCUCCUUGUAAGAGGCUCUCUGUGAGCGCCUUACUCGCUGUGCUGAGUGGAUUCGGAACACGUGCAUGGAUGGAUCGAUCGGUGGUUCUUCUACUUGAGUUCGUGCUGUUUCUCUCUUUCUCCUUGCGCGGUUCUGCGUGUCUGCGUCUCCGUAAGUGUGUGCGUGUGUGUGUGUGUGUGUGGGGUUCUCGAUGCGGCGUGCGGAGGCACACCGACAUAGGCAUUCAAAGACGCGCCACUGUAUGCCUUGCUUUCCGGGCACGCCUGUGGGCCCGCUUGCGUCAUCGCGCCCCUCCUCACCUUUUUCAUAUCUCAUUCUGUGGUUGUAUCGGUUUUUGAUCUGUGGUCGUCUGCUGCUCGCCUGGAGGUGUGCGUGUAUGUGGUGUGUGAUGGCCUCUCUCUCUCUCCUCCUCCUCUGGUGAUUAAAUGGGUGCGCGUGCGUGCGCCAGUGACGUUGUGUUUUGAGGCGCUCGCGCCUCGCUUCUCGUUGCUUGACGGUUGCGGAGGGGGGGGGGAGUAGGCUUCGCUUUAAGUGUGGUUGUGGUGGUGCUGCGCCAUCUGCGUAUGUGGGGGGCGUGAGGGGGGGGGCGGGGUGUGAUGAUGGCGACAAGGGAUAUGGGCAGCGCCAUAUAAUGGGGGAUCGAGCGGACAUCCUUACUGGUGUCCUCUCUGUCUUCCCGCUCGUUCAUCACUCAGUGCCUCUACAACUGCUACUUUCUCGCGCUUUCUCUCUUUCCCUCGUCGUCAUUGCCAGCUGCGGCACUAUCUUUAUGUCGGUGUUGACCGCUGCCUCGCUGUCUAUGGUUGUUCUCUUCGGUGUUGUGUCUCUGUGGUGUAACUCAUCUUAAUACUGUAACCUACUCCGGCGCUCUUCUACUCGCUUGCCGCGCGUCUGCGCGUGCAAGAGCUAUGCGUGACGCGUGCGCCAAAGAGAGUCGGAGGGAGUGACACACCGCCUCCAUCGUCCCCGGCUGCGCCCGUCCCCCACUUCUUUUUUUUUUUCGCGUGUGCGUGGCUUGGAAAGUCCCCGUGGCGAAGCGCACAGAUCGUUGGAGAAACAUUCGCACUCAACGCACGCACGCGUGCAGGGCGCACAGCGUCUCUGUCGGUAGACCUGCAUCGUCGAGGCGCCCUCCGUGCGUGGGGACAGUGUAGCCGUUUGCGUGUGUGUUGGUCGUGAUCG
rnacentral:misc_RNA from 1 species